rnacentral:rRNA from 1 species
GUGGAUUAGUGGGCGAACGGGUGAGUAACACGUGAGUAACCUGCCCUUGACUUCGGGAUAACUCCGGGAAACCGGGGCUAAUACCGGAUAUGAGCUGCCCUCGCAUGGGGGUGGUUGGAAAGUUUUUCGGUCAGGGAUGGGCUCGCGGCCUAUCAGCUUGUUGGUGGGGUGAUGGCCUACCAAGGCGACGACGGGUAGCCGGCCUGAGAGGGCGACCGGCCACACUGGGACUGAGACACGGCCCAGACUCCUACGGGAGGCAGCAGUGGGGAAUAUUGCACAAUGGGCGCAAGCCUGAUGCAGCGACGCCGCGUGAGGGAUGAAGGCCUUCGGGUUGUAAACCUCUUUCAGCAGGGAAGAAGCGCAAGUGACGGUACCUGCAGAAGAAGCGCCGGCUAACUACGUGCCAGCACCGCGGUAAUACGUAGGGCGCAAGCGUUGUCCGGAAUUAUUGGGCGUAAAGAGCUCGUAGGCGGUUUGUCGCGUCUGGUGUGAAAACUCGAGGCUCAACCUCGAGCUUGCAUCGGGUACGGGCAGACUAGAGUGCGGUAGGGGAGACUGGAAUUCCUGGUGUAGCGGUGGA